UUUUUUUUUUUUUUUUUGCCUCAACACCUGGAAAUUGCCAUUGCUGAGGUUGAGAGGAUUGUAGUCUGAAAUGCACAAACAACCCCCCACCGCCAGAUAUCAAAUCUUCCUGACUUACUCCUUAAUAGGACUUUACUCCCAGCACUUUUGUAGUAAGGCUUUCUCUAACCAAGUGUAAAAUUAUGUGUGCACACAGAGUUCUCUCCAUCUCCCCUUCACUAAUUUUUCGCUACAAAGCAACUAUCACUCUAUAAUUUAGGUGUCUGUUUUGUUUAAUGUCUCUACACCUUGACAUUGAAAAGUAAACUCUUUGAAAACAAAACAAAACAAACAAAACAGAACAACCACAACAACAACAACAACAAAACACCUCAUCUCUUUUCUUAUUUCCAUCCAAAGCCACCAGUUGCACCUUUUGUGGGAAGAGAGCUUUGAUACCAAAGGUUCAGAGACAUAGGAAGGACAUCCAUCCCACCUACCACAUAUUUGCUGCUAGGGCAGUCCGUGGUCAGGGAUUUCAUUCUGCCAUUAGAGGUGAGUGCAAAUCCAGUGCACUUCUCCUACAGAGGGAUUGAUACGACCAUAGCAAAUGGCAAUAGUCUCCUCACAGACAAGGCAUUCACGGACCCACAGAUACUUGUGCUGAAGUGGAUGAGUCUAUAAAUUGUCUGGGGCCUGAUUUUCACAAGGGAGGAGACUGAGACGGGAGUGAUGUAAAAGGGUCCAAUACACACGGUUGAUUGUGAUGGGGCCGUGGACUCAGAUCUCCCAAUUCCUCAUCCAUUGUUCUUCGAGGAAGAAAAUAAGGGUGCGUAGAGAAGAUAAUAGGCACAAAUGGAAUGCAGAAAGGAGUCCCAGGAAAAAAAGGGGGGGAGAUAAUAGGAAAUCUAGUGACACUCAAGAAAAUCCAUCAAAGUGCCCCAGACUAAUUCAUUGUAGGGUCAGUCUGUGGGCUUGCCGCUCAAACUCAGUCCUGCCGCAUCAGCCCCGUGCAAGAGCUUGUUAGAACGCACAAUCCCCAGACUUUCUGAACAAGAAUCUUCAUCUUAACAAGAUUUCCAGGUGAUCUCUGUGCACAUUAAAGUAUGAGAAGAGCUGGACUCAGGGGAAGAAGUAAGGUCCGGCUGCAGGCAGCAACUGAGAUCCACCUGCAGACACAUCUCCUGCUAUUACUCUCCUGCAGAAAACAGGAUCGGGCCUCUGGGCUAACAUAACACUUUGUUAUUUCAAGACCCCCAGACCCAGGAUAUUUUAAAUAGACAGAAUUCUCAUGAAGAUGGAGGAGGCCACCACAAAUUGCCUGAGCACUUUGGAUAAAAGUGGCUAGGGGAGUUCUCUUUCCUGACUCAGCGGUUAAUGAACCCUACUAGCAUCCAUGAGGACACAGGUUCUUUCCCUGGCUUUGCUCAGUGGGUUAAGGAUCCAGCGUUGCCCCGAGCUAUGGUGUACGUCUCAGGCAUGGCUUAGAUCCCGAGUUUCUGUGGCUGUGGUGUAGGCAGGCAGCUUCAGCCCCAAUUCAACCCCCAGCCUGGGAAUCUCCAUAUACCUCCGAUGAGGCCCUAAAAAGACAGAAGACGGGGAAAAAAAAAGUGCCUAGGACUUUACAGGUGUGCCUAUAACCUAGAUUCUCUUUGUAUCACUUUAAUUUGAUUUGCUUUGUCUUGUUUUGUUUUGUUUUUCCGCACCAAGUUUUUGUAUUUACUUCAUGAAGCAAGGUGAAACUAUUUCACAGGCUACCCUCUAAAUGUCCCAUUUCUCUUUUUCCAUAGUAAUUUACACAUAGCUCUAUUUUAUAGGGUUUUUUUUCCAAAUAAUCACUUUCGUAAGGCAGUUGCCCUAACUAGAUUGUGAGCCCCUCAAAGGCAAAAUUAUAUGUUUUAUUUAUCUUUAUCAUCCUAACAGUUAGUGCCCUAUUAUUUAAUAAACAAACAAUAAUGAAAGAUUCAAGUAGAAAAAUAAAGGAGUUUCUGUCCUGGCUCAGUGGUCACAAACCUGACUAGUACCCAUGAGGAUGCAGGUUCAAUCCCUGACCUUGUUUCCAAGGAUCCAGCAUUGCCCUCAGCUGUGGCGUAGGUUGCAUACUUGGCUUGGAUCCCACGUUGUUGUGGCUGUGACAUAGGCCAGCAGCUAUAGGUCCAGUUCGACCCCUCGCCUACAAAUUUCCAUAUGCUGUGGGUGUGGCCCUAAAAAAAUAGAAAAAUUAAAAUGAAUGAAUGAAUGCAAGCACACUGAAGGAGAAUGAAUGGAUGAAACAGAAAGUAAAAUUCUCAUUUUCUUGGUUUCAGCUCCAAUAUUCUGCUAUCUUUUUUUUCUCUUGUAUUUGACCUCGUCACAUGACUCAAUAUUCAGUCCACUACAGAGAAGUCAGUCAGGCCAAGUGUCACUGUGUCCUGAGAUGCAGUCAGAACAUAUGAACUACAAUCCAUAACAUGCCAUCAGUAAAUCACAUUACUCUGAAAUCUUCAGGUGAGAGUUACCCUCCAACAGGCUUUCACUACAAGAACCCAGUUUUGGAGUUCCCAUCGUGGCGCAGUGGUUAACGAAUCCGACUAGGAACCAUGAGGUUGCGGGUUUGGUCCUGCCCUUGCUCAGUGGGUUGACAAUCCGGGCGUUGCCGUGAGCUGUGGUGUAGGUUGCAAAUGUAGCUUGGAUCCCCAUGUUGCUGUGACUAUGGCCUAGGCCGGUGGCUACAGCUCCAAUUAGACCCCUAGCCUGAGAAUCUCCAUAUGCUGCGGGAGCGGCCCAAGAAAU
ensembl:lncRNA